CGUCGCUCAAAUGUAGCACCGUCGUCUGCGUGAUCUGCUUGGAGAAGCCCAAAUACCGCUGUCCAGCCUGCCGCGUGCCCUAAUGGACUCUCGUCCUGUCACCCAGGCUGGAGUGCAGCGGCGCAAUCUCGGCUCACUGCAACCUCUCCCUCCCAGAUUCAAGCAAUUCUCGUGCCUCAGCCUCCCGAGCAGCUGGGACUACAGGCACCUGCCACUACGCCCAACCAAUUUUUGUAUUUUUAGUAGAGAUGGGGUUUCGCCAUGUUGGCCAGGCUGGUCUUGAACUCCUGACCUCAGGUGAUACACCCGCCUCGACUUCCCAAAGUGCUGGGAUUAUAGGCGUGAGCCACUGCUCCAGGCCUUAAGCUAAACUUUCAUCACCUCCUGCUCCGGACUCAUCUAAAGCCUUGGUUCUCACAGUGUGGUUCAUGGAGCAUCAGAAUCAGCUGGGAGCUUGCUAGAAACGCAGCAUUGCAUUUGGAAAUGGGACUAGAAGAUUUAGAGAUGCUGAAAUAAUUAGAAGCAGUUUUUAAAAAGAUAAAGGGCUCUGGAAGAUUCCCAGUUAUAACAAAAUAAAUAAUCCAAACCUGCAGCUGAUUGGGACAUGCAGCCCUCUGGUUUACCCAGUAGGGUUAGGGAUGGAUCUUGUCCCAGCCUCAGUCUCAUUCCCGCUGUGAACUUGUAGGCUUUGCUCCUACUGUUCUCAGGAACAAAGCUGUCAUGGCCAUCACACACAACGUACCUGAGGCAGCGCUCGGAUGGACGUGACACCAGCCUGGUCUUGUGCUGUCUGGACAGUGUAGCUACUGGGGCUGCCCC
rnacentral:sRNA from 1 species